UACGGAGGGUGCGAGCGUUGUCCGGAAUCACUGGGCGUAAAGGGCGCGUAGGCGGCCUGGCAAGUCGGUGGUGAAAGCCCGUGGCUCAACUACGGGUCGGCCACCGAUACUGCUAUGGCUCGAGUUUGGUAGAGGCAGAUGGAAUUCCGGGUGUAGCGGUGGAAUGCGUAGAGAUCCGGAAGAACGACCGGUGGCGAGGCGGUCUGCUGGGCCAAGACUGACGGCUGAGGCGCGACAGCGUGGG
rnacentral:rRNA from 1 species